AUUGAACGCUGGCGGCAUGCUUUACACAUGCAAGUCGAACGCGAAAGCGGGGGCAACCCUGCCGGUAGAGUGGCGAACGGGUGAGUAAUACAUCGGAACGUAUCCUCGCGUGGGGGACAACCAGUCGAAAGACGGGCUAAUACCGCAUACGCUGGAGACAGGAAAGCAGGGGACCCGCAAGGGCCUUGUGCGCACGGAGCGGCCGAUGUCUGAUUAGCUAGUUGGUGGGGUAAAGGCUCACCGAGGCGACGAUCAGUAGCUGGUCUGAGAGGAUGAUCAGCCACACUGGGACUGAGACACGGCCCAGACUCCUACGGGAGGCAGCAGUGGGGAAUUUUGGACAAUGGGGGCAACCCUGAUCCAGCCAUGCCGCGUGAGGGAAGAAGGCCUGGUG
rnacentral:rRNA from 1 species